CGUUCCCGGGUCUUGUACACACCGCCCGUCACACCAUGGGAGCGGGUUUUACCAGAAGUAGGUAGCCUAACCGUAAGGAGGGCGCUUACCACGGUAGGAUUCGUGACUGGGGUG
rnacentral:rRNA from 1 species